CCUGAACGCUGGCGGCAGGCCUAACACAUGCAAGUCGAGCGGCAGCACAAGCGACUUUACUCGUGAGGUGGCGAGCGUCGGACGGCUGCGUAAUGUCUAGGGAUCUGCCCAGUCGAGGGGGAUAACAGUUGGAAACGACUGCUAAUACCGCAUCCGCCCUACGCGGGCAAGAGGGGGACUGUCGGGCCUCUCGCGAUUGGAUGCACCUAGGUGGGAUUAGCUAGUUGGUGAGGUCAUGGCUCACCAAGGCGACGAUCCCUAGCUGUUCUGAGAGGAUGAUCAGCCACACUGGGACUGAGACACGGCCCAGACUCCUACGGGAGGCAGCAGUGGGGAAUAUUGCACAAUGGGGGAAACCCUGAUGCAGCCAUGCCGCGUGUGUGAAGAAGGGCUUCGGGUUGUAAAGCACUUUCAGUAGGGAGGAAAGGUUGUAAUUUAAUACCUUGCAGCUGUGACGUUACCUACAGAAGAAGGACCGGCUAACUCCGUGCCAGCAGCCGCAGUAACAC
rnacentral:rRNA from 1 species